rnacentral:rRNA from 1 species
GAUGAACGCUAGCGAUAGGCUUAACACAUGCAAGUCGAGGGGCAGCAUGGUCUUAGCUUGCUAAGACUGAUGGCGACCGGCGCACGGGUGCGUAACGCGUAUGCAACUUGCCUCACAGAGGGGGAUAACCCGUCGAAAGACGGACUAAUACCGCGUACACUUGGGAUAGGGCAUCCUGACCCAAGGAAAUGAAAUUCGCUGUGAGAUAGGCAUGCGUCCCAUUAGCUAGUUGGUGAGGUAACGGCUCACCAAGGCGACGAUGGGUAGGGGAACUGAGAGGUGGAACCCCCACACUGGUACUGAGACACGGACCAGACUCCUACGGGAGGCAGCAGUGAGGAAUAUUGGUCAAUGGGCGAGAGCCUGAACCAGCCAAGUCGCGUGAAGGAUGACUGUCUUAUGGAUUGUAAACUUCUUUUAUACGGGAAUAACAAGAGUCACGUGUGGCUCCCUGCGUGUACCGUAUGAAUAAGCAUCGGCUAACUCCGUG